rnacentral:rRNA from 1 species
GUCGUAACAAGGUUUCCGUAGGUGAACCUGCGGAAGGAUCAUUAUCGUUCCUUCACCCGCACCGUGCGUACUGUGUCGUCGUUCUUCCUAGAGGUGAUCGAGAGAUCGAUCAUCUCGGAAGGCACCCCGCUCCGGCGGAAUCUUUGAGUCGUCGGAAGCGAUUCCGUCGUCUCUCCCCCUGGCGCGCGAGUGUACGCUCGCCGCCAACCAAGAUAGAAAAUCACACAACUCGCUUCGAUGGAUAUCUUGGCAUGAGCAACGAUGAAGAACGCAGCGAAAUGCGAUACGUAGUGCGAAUUGCAGAAUUCAGUGAAUCAUCGAAACUUUGAACGCAAAUGGCACUUUCAGCUUCCGGCUGGAAGUACACUUCCUCCAGUGGCGCCACCAACCCCCUCGGGCGCGCCCGCGCGCCCGGAUCGUGGUCGCUGCCUAAGCUUCGGCUUGGGCGCCGACUCAAGUGGCGAGCGCUCGUUGAUCCGCGCGUCGAUUGCUCCUUGCAAUCGAGCCGAUGUGCUAGUAGCUUCUCGCUUUGAUGUCAUCGGUCCUGCUCGGUUUGACGGCGCGGCGUGCGGUUAUCCCGCACGCUCCCCCCCUUUAUGUACCGCCAUGGAGUGACGUGAGGCUACCCGCUGAACUUAAGCAUAUCACUAAGCGGAGGAGAAGAAAACAACCGUGAUGCCCCUAGUAAUGGCGAAUGAAGAGGGCAGAGCUCACGCCGCCAAUCUGGCCGGCCUCGCGCCGCCCCGAAUUGUAGUCUAGAAAUGCGCCAUCGGCCGCGCCCGCCGCUCAAAUCCCUUGGAACAGGGUAUCGGAGAAGGUGAGAAUCCUGUACCGUGGCGGUCCGCGGCCGCACGAUGCGUUUUUACAGAGUCGGGUUGCUUGGGAUUGCAGCUUGAAGUGGGAGGUAAAUUCCUUCUAAAGCUAAAUAUUGGCUCAUGACCGAUAGCGAACAAGUACCGUGAGGGAAAGAUGCAAAGAACUUUGAAAAGAGAGUUAAAGAGUGCUUGAAAUCGGAGUGAGGAAACCCGUUUGCGCCCGGUUUCGCGCCAUCGACUCAGCCGUCUCGAAGCGGUGCACUUUGGUGGUGCGGGUCCUACGCGAUUACUAGUGUGUCACAACCACCCGGGGGGCUUCGGUGAGCCGGGACAUGUCACGCUGGUGAUUCCGUCGGACAGAACGGGCGCAACCGACCCGUCUAGAAACACGGACCAAGGAGUCUGACACGGAUGCGAGUACCCGGGUGGUAAGCCCGCGUGCGCAAUGAAAGUAAAGGGCGUGCUCCGCCAACCGACCUUGAUCUUCUGUGAAGGGUUUGAGUCGAGCAUCACUGUCGGGACCCGAAAGAUGGUGAACUAUGCGUGA